ACUGCGAGUGAAGCGGGAAAAGCUCAAAUUUUGAAUCUGGCGGUAGAUUUGUUACUGCCCGAAUUGUAAUCUAGAGAAGUGUCUUCCGCGCUGGCCCGUGUACAAGUCUCCUGGAAGGGAGCAUCAUAGAGGGUGAGAAUCCCGUCUUUGACACGGACUACCAGGGCUAUGUGAUGCACUCUCAACGAGUCGAGUUGUUUGGGAAUGCAGCUCAAAUAGGGUGGUAAAUUCCAUCUAAAGCUAAAUACAGGCGAGAAACCGAUAGCGUACAAGUACCGUGAGGGAAAGACGAAAAGAACUUUGAAAAGAGAGUUAAAUAGUACGUGAAAUUGCUGAAAGGGAAACGCUUGAUGUCCAGUCGCGUCAGUUAGGGAUCAACCUUUGCUUUAACGAGUUGGGGGUGCACUUCCUGGCUGACGGGUCAGCAUCAGUUUUGAUUACCAUCGUAUAAGGAUCAAGGGAAUGUAGCACUCUUAGGAGUGUGUUAUAGACUUUGGUUGUAUGUGAUGGUCAGGACUGAGGAACCCUCAGCACGGCCUACUACCUGGCUUGUGUUAAGGAUGCUGGCAUAAUGGCAUUCAGCGACCCGUCUUGAAACACGGACCAAGGAGUCUAACAUGCCUGCGAGUAUUUGGGUAAUUAAAACCCAAGUGCGAAAUGAAAGUGAAAGUCGAGAGCUUUGUCAAGGAGUGCACCGACGCCCAGACCCAAGUCAUUUUGACAAGGGCUCUGCGGUAGAGCAUGUAUGUUAGGACCCCGAAAGA
rnacentral:rRNA from 1 species